CUGACAUGGGGCUCGAUCCCAAGACCCUGGGAUCAUGACCUGAGUCAAAAUCAAGAAUUGGACGGUCUACCGACUGAGCCAUCCUGGCAUCCUUAAGAGAUGUCUGUCAUUGUGAAAUUGGAAGCUCUAAUCUCUGCUUUCUGUGUCUGUAUUACACCGUGCCCUCUUUCCCCCGACAUGUGCCUAGAGACCCAAGUAUCAGAAAUCUUCCUAGAUGAUGCCAGCCUAUACUGAGAAAGGAUUCCUGUUGGAGCCAUUCCAAAUCCCAUUUCUCAGAGGACAAAAUAGAGACUCUGCUACUCUCUGAACACCCCUCUUACUGAGAACUGGCAACACCUAAUGUGGACAGAAGAAAGCUUACAUCCUUUGGAGGCAGCACUGGAGUCUAGAAUUCGGAGAUCACAAACGUGGAUAAUGGAUAUCGGGAGCCAGUAGGUCAUCUUAUAUUGCUGAAAAAAGGGUAAGUUGCCUCACCCCACUCCAAUUUGGCAAUAUCUCUAAAAGUCUACAAUGUAUCUAUCCUUUGAUCAAGGGAUUCCAUUCCUAAACGUGUACCCCAUGGAGAGCACAUGUACAAAUAUAAGCUUGCAGAAAAGUAUGUAUCACAACAUUGUUUCUAAACACAGUAAAUGAUGGAAAAGAAACAGAAAUUUACUACUUUGAAGCACUGGUAAAAAUAUAGCCCAUCCAUGGAAUAAUAUGCUGCCAUUAAAAUAAGACACUUUUACAUUUACUGAAAUGGAAAGAUCUCCAGCAUGUAUUAAGUGGGAGAAACGGGAAGGAAGUGCAGAAAAAUUUGCAUCCAAAUCCACCUGUGUGGGAAAGAAAAUGGACCGACUCUGAAAUCUAUUCACUGGCUGACUGUCUCUGGGGAGGAGAAUUGAGUGGAUAGGAGACAAGGGAGGGAUUCUUGUUUUUUGCCUUUUUAUACCUUUGUACUUUUGUAUUAUGUGUAUUACCUAAUUAUAAGCAACCAAUCUAACAAACAUGAAUGAACAGCCCAGAGAAACUUAGGAAGUGAUGUGAGCAACUGAAAAGAUCCCAGGAUUUAUCAUCAAAUGGGGUCUGAGUUGAAAUCCUAGCUCUCACCCACUAUGGGCCCUUUGUUCUCUGAGUUCUGUAAAAUAUAAAUCUGUAAAAUCAAGAUCAUAAUGCCCAACAAGCAGCACUGUUGGAAGAAUGAGACAUAACAUCAAUGAAGUGCCUGGCUCAGUGAAGAGUAGCCGUCAUUAUUGAAUUCACAUUGGGGGAAAUUAAUAACCACAGAGAAGGCUCAAUCUAUUCCAAGUUACACAGGAAGUUUAACAGCAAAUUCUUUCCCAAGGGGCUGCUUCAGGCUUUGGCCUAUUCUCCAGAGCCUGCUGAAUAUGAGAGGAACUGUUUUUAGGGCGGGCCAGACCUGGGUCUGUUUGGCGGUGCUCCAAAGUUUCAGGUGCAAUAGGUUAGCGGCAACGGGUCGUCUUGUUUUCCUCAUUAUCAUUGUGAAGAAAUUAGCCCGCAGUUGUUCAAGCGGGGGCGGGGGGGGGGGGGGGAAGCAUUCUGGGUGGUCUGGGGCCCCCUGAGAAGGCCUGUCAGAUGAAGGCCGGGAUGCCCAAUUACAUUUGAAUUUCAGGUAAAUAACAAAUAACCUCGCAAUACAGAUAUACCCCAAAUAGUACAGUACAGCUUACGAUGCGGUGUACCUGGGCUACAAAACCGUUUGUUGAUUAUCUGAAAUUCAGAUGUUACUAUGA